ensembl:snRNA U6 U6 spliceosomal RNA
UUAAAAAAAACAUUAAAAUUGGAAUGAUACAGAGAAUACCAGCAUGUCCUCUGCACAAGAGUGACACACAAUCCUGAAACGUUCCAUAUUAAA